rnacentral:tRNA from 1 species
GGUCGCAUGCCCGAGUGGUCAGGGGCCCGCCUGCAAAGCGGUGUACGCCGGUUCGAAUCCGGCUGCGGCUUC